GCGAAGUUCGGGUAGGGAGCCGCGUGGUGACGAAGGGUGGACGCGGUGCGUGGAAUUACUGGGCUUAAGGUGGGGUUAGGGUGUCGUUUAAGGCCGUUGUGGAAGGCGUUGGCUCAACCUGGGAGCUGCCGUUGCUACUGGGCGACUAGAGUGUGGUAGAGGUGAGCGGAAUUCCGGGUUUAGCAGUGAAAUGCGUAGAGAUCAGGAGGAACAUCCAUGGCGAAGGCAGCUACCUGGACCAACACUGACACUGAGGCACGAAAGCGUGGGGAGCAAACAGGAUUAGAUACCCCUGUCGUC
rnacentral:rRNA from 1 species